rnacentral:rRNA from 1 species
AUUGAACGCUGGCGGCAGGCCUAACACAUGCAAGUCGAGCGGAGCGGCGGACGGGUGAGUAAUGCCUAGGAAUCUGCCUGGUAGUGGUGGAUAACGUCCGGAAACGGGCGCUUAUACCGCAUCCUAUCACAUGAGCCUAGGUCGGAUUAGCUAGUUGGUGGGGUAAAGGCCUACAAAGGGGACGAUACGUAACUGGUCUGAGAGGAUGAUCAGUCAAACUGGAACUGAGAAACGGUCCAGACUCCUACGGGAGGCAGCAGUGGGGAUGAUUGGGCAAUGGGCGAAAGCCUGAUCCAGCCAUGCCGCGUGAGUGAAGAAGGUCUUCGGAUUGUAAAGCACUUUAAGUUGAGAGGCGUUACCAACAGAAUAAGCACCGGCUAACUUCGUGCCAGCAGCCGCGGUAAUAC